GGAGGGGUUGAGGAGCCUGGAACCUCGCGGGAUUUGAAAUCCCGUAUGCCCGAAAGGGUGCGCCGGUUCGAAUCCGGCCCCCUCCGCCA
rnacentral:tRNA from 1 species